CGCCCCCUUUUCCCUUUUCCAUUUUUUUUUUGAAUUUCUUUUCUUAAAUCCUCUUCCAAAAGCAUUUUGACCAUUUUCAAAUCAUUUUCACCACUUUCACCCAAAAGCAAAGUGGUGCCAAACUAAAAACUCUACAACUUUGCUUUAAUAGGUAAGACCAAAUUCUAAAUAGAAUUUGAAUUACAAAUUAAAACUUAGUUCUAGGUUUUUAAAUAAAGUUAUUUUGGAUAUUUUGUAU
rnacentral:lncRNA from 1 species